rnacentral:tRNA from 2 species
AGGGGCGUCGCCAAGCGGUAAGGCAGCAGGUUUUGAUCUUGCCAUGCGUUGGUUCGAAUCCAGCCGCCCCUGCCA